AGCCUGGUGCAGCUUUCUAGUUUGCCAGUCCUCAGUCAAACCAUCCAACCCAUGCCAGCAUGGAAUGCUGAUGUUAAAUGAUGAUGAUGAUAUUAAUACAAAAGAAAGGUGGGGUUUGAAAACAUAUAAAAAACAUAUUUUCAUAUAAAGAACAGGAUAACUUUUUCUUUUUACCUGAUCGAUUGUAAUUAAAGGCAGUGAGAUCGUCCGUUGCUUCAUCUGGAUGCAGAACAGUGCUGUCAUUUUUCAGUUAAAUGCCUUUUCUGUAUCUGUAAAGUUGAAGCAAAUAUUAAACUUUUUAAGGAGAGUAUAGGACAUUGGAAUGGGACAUUUAUAGUUCAAUUUCCUUAAGAAAUGUAUUCAUGAAUUAUGGUGAUAUGUUGCUGAAGACUGGGUCUUUGGUUUCACUUAUGACACACUUUGUAAAAAAUGUGAGGAAGAAAUUACAAGUGAUAGAUGUCAAGCAUUUUAUUAAUUAUGAGGAACAAGUGGGUCGACCAAGAAUCAGAAUCAUAUUGCAAACAUAACUCUGUUAUUUUACCCCCACAGUACAUUUGAAAGUCCUUAACUGCUGCAACCAGUCAUUGCUCCGUCUCUCUCGAUGCUUUGCAGUUAGCUGCCACCACUGGUUUCUGUCCCCUGUCAUGCAUAGCAGGGUUAUGGCGUUGUGACCUGUCCAGUCAGACCAGGAUUUUCUGUGUCUUCUUCUCUUUUUCCCUCCCUCAGUUGGGCCCCAAAGGAUGGUUUUGGACAGGGAGUUGUGGCAGGAUAUGUGACCAUACCAAGCAAGCUUUCAUCUUUUUACUUGUGCAAGGAAUGGUUCCUGUCUACCAUUGUAUUUGUUGACUUUGCUGCCUGACAAAUCGUUUUCUGUGUAUGUCUUUGGACACUUUUAGUCUCAUUGGAAAACUAAUAGAGUUGCUCUUCCAUAGAGCGUUCAGUUUUGUCAUGGCAGGAGAGACUAAACUGAGUCUUGUUGUUAUCUCCUUUUGAAAUCUGUUGUCAUUUGAUCAAAGGGAAUCUUUGGCAUUUAAAGGUAUCCACUUCGUCUCACAUCUAUCUUCAUUAUGCUAAGUGAUAUGUUUUUCAAAAAAACAAAAAAAAAACAUGAUUCAUCCCAUGUUCUGUUGCUGUCAAAAAUUGUUUCUGUAGUUUGAAUUUUUCUUGCUUCCUCUUAGAUAUUUUAAUAGCCUUAUUAAGUUUAUUUUAAGAAAAUGUUAAGGUGUUGUAGUCCUACACUAGCACUUUAAAGAGAUACUCAGCUCUUGGCAAAUAGAAGUUGCAAUACAGGUUUAAUUCAUAGUUGAAAAUUUCAAACAGGA